rnacentral:rRNA from 1 species
UAAUACAGAGGUCCCGAGCGUUGUUCGGAUUCACUGGGCGUAAAGGGUGCGUAGGUGGCAUGUUAAGUUUGAUGUGAAAGCUCAGGGCUUAACCCUGAAAUGGCAUUGAAUACUAGCGUGCUGGAGGUUUGGAGGGGGGACUGGAAUUCUCGGUGUAGCAGUGAAAUGCGUAGAUAUCGAGAGGAACACCAGUGGCGAAGGCGAGUCCCUGGACAACACCUGACACUGAGGCACGAAAGCCGGGGGAGCAAACAGGAUUAGAUACCCUGGUAGUCCCGGCCCUAAACGGUGCGCAUUUGCUGUAGGAGGAAUCGACCCCUUCUGUGGCGAAGCUAACGCGAUAAAUGCGCCGCCUGGGGAGUACGGUCGCAAGAUUA